AGUUACUUCGAAGGCGUUGAAAGGAGUAACUUCAAAGGAGUACCGCCCGGUUUGGUCUGUGCGUGUGCGCACCAGAGUCCCGGGUCACACACACUCCUCGAAGAGAGCUGGAGCAGCGUUAAGUUUGCAGCCAACCUCGACCGAGAUUUCAAUUGAGCAGGAGGUCACAUUGCCCACCACACCAAGGCGGAUCAUGCUAGGAAGAAGUUUGACGUCUUCCACCCAUUGGAUGGUCAGCAUUGAGGGGAAGGUCCUCUUUGAAGCUAACCAACUUAACGCCAGUGCUUUUGUCGUCUUCUUUGGC